UUCUUGGUCAUUUAGAGGAAGUAAAAGUCGUAACAAGGUUUCCGUAGGUGAACCUGCGGAAGGAUCAUUACAGAAAGUAAACGCGGAUCGAACCGCGAACUUCUAAACCUUUGACGAUUGACUCGCGUUGCCUCGGCGGGUUCUCCCGCCAGAGGAUACAUCAAAACUCCUGUUUUAACGGUGUUGUCUGAGCUACAAGCAACGAAUCAAAACUUUCAACAACGGAUCUCUUGGUUCUGGCAUCGAUGAAGAACGCAGCGAAAUGCGAUAAGUAGUGUGAAUUGCAGAAUUCAGUGAAUCAUCGAAUCUUUGAACGCACAUUGCGCCCCUUGGUAUCCCGAGGGGCAUGCCUGUUCGAGCGUCAUUUCACCACUCAAGCCUGGCUUGGUGUUGGGCGACGUCCCCUUUGGGGACGCGCCUCGAAACGCUCGGCGGCGUGGCACCGGCUUUAAGCGUAGCAGAAUCUUUCGCUUCAAAAGUCGGGGCCCCGUCUGCCGGAAGACCUACUCGCAAGGUUGACCUCGGAUCAGGCAGGGAUACCCGCUGAACUUAAGCAUAUCAAUAAGCGGAGGA
rnacentral:rRNA from 1 species